rnacentral:lncRNA from 1 species
GGGUCCCCUUUAGGGGAAGAAACCCCUAGGGGACUAAGACCAGAGCCCUUCCCCUUUGGUUGUCCCCUAAGGGGGGGGGAAACCUUUGUUCAUCCCCUAAAGGGGAACUAAAGGGGUUCUUCCCCUAAAGGGGAACUUUAGUUCAUCCCCUUUAGUUCCCCUAAAGGGGAUGAACUAAAGGGGAAGAAGUACACCAAAGUCCCUAAAGGGAAUGAUGACAGUGGAUGAAGUCUUCCCCUUUAGUUCAUCCCCUUUAGUUCAUCCCCUUUAGUUCCCCUAAAGGGGAUGAACUAAAGGGGAUGAACUAAAGGGGAUGAACUAAAGGGGAAGAAGGGGGUUCCCCUUUGGUUCAUCCCCUUCGGUUCCCCUUUGGUAAACUUCGGGUUCCCCAAAGGGGGGGGACGACAACCAGAGCGCACAAGUUAAGAGCUAAUUGUGGUUUAAACAACAGAGGCCGUUGGUAUCGUAGUUUAAUGUCGAUUAGACUCCGCCGUGACAAUAAACUAAAUCUCGAAGGGGAUGUAAUGUAGUCUAACCUACAGUGUAGUUUAGGCUCCGCUGUAACUAUGUUGUAGUACUGCAAAUCUGGCCUUCGGCCCUCGUUCAAUACAUAAAAUCACGAUCUUAUCAGUGACUUGGAUAGGGCACAACUGGGGGUGCGAGCGCACUGCAUGCUGAAAUAAUGCAAAGGUGCGGAGCACGGGGAGUACGUUGUGAGCGCAAGAACAGCGUAGUAAAACUAUGUUUUUAGGGGGGGGCAGAAGCCCGCAACAUACUAUAUAGACGAUGCCUAGGGAGUACAUACUGUAGCAAGGUCGGCUGUUGGAAUCCGGCCUAGGCCAGAUGAAGAAGUAUCUUUGCAAUAGGCUGUAGCCUUUUUUGUGCAACGUCCGGAACACGUAACUAUGUUAGGUUUAACUAAAACUUAAUGAAGCUUAGAAAACUAAGGCAAUAUACUAUACUAAACUGGUUUUACUAUAAAAACAAAAAAUGCGGCCUAUGGCUGUGAGCAUAAUCUUAAUGCUUUUUGAAUAAAAAGCUACGCUUUAUUUGUAGUUUUAGUCAAAGAACCGAGGUAUCUGGAUGAGGGCGUAGCCCCUAAUGUUGGCUCCGCCAAUCCCGGAGGGAACUUUGUUCUAGUUUCCUAAUACAACGUCGUCAAAACUACACGUAGUACGUGGCCCUACAACAUUUAGCUU